GCUCAUCCUAUCUAUGGUUAAACGGUCAUGCUGGGCAGCUCUAGCUCAUCUUAUCUAUGGUUAAACGGUCAUGCUGGGCAGCUCUAGCUCAUCCUAUCUAUGGUUAAACGGUCAUGCUGGGCAGCUCUAGCUCAUCUUAUCUAUGGUUAAAUGGUCAUGACAUAGGAAUGUGGACCACUGACCACCUGUGACCCCCUAGGACCCACCAAUGAAAUGUCAGUUCACCUCAUCCUUCUAGAGAGUUCCUCCAGUUUCCUAUAAGAAGGCCUGCAUGCCUUUGCCUGCGGUCACCAUUUGGAAGAAUGGUUGACCCGCACGCUGGUCGUUUCUUCACGUUGUCUUUGCAUUCUAUCUGAGUCUGGGCCCUUCCUUCAGCGAGUUUCAGACCCUUCCAAUAGCAGUGCUUCCUUAUGAUGCCAUCUCUGUCGUGUGGGUCUCUGAAGGACUCCAGGAAGCACAGUACCUAGCCGCCUACCUGCAAUCAUUGGGCAUAGAAGUAAGCAGGAGUCCAGAAGAGGACAUUGCUGAUCGCAAUAGCAAAUCCGGCAUCUGUAAAAUGAAUGCAGCCUCCUUUCUCCCUUAUCCAUCAUGGCCAAACUUGAUCCUUCAUUGUCUGCUAAGGGCAGAAGAGCAUCAAGUCAGGCAUUAAGAUACUAUAUUGCUACUUAAGCUAACUCAAAAAAGCCACCAGAUUUCAUGUGGUAUAAUCCAAGAAGUUAUCUGCUGGGGGGAAAAGUAGAUUGAAAAAUACCUUGGCAGGGGAUGUAACCCAGGCAGAACACUUGCUUAGCACGACUGAGGCCCUCAGUUUCAAAGUCGCUCUAUUGGCACAACUAGUUACAACUAGUUACAACUAGUUACAACUAGUUACAACUCUGUGGGAAAUGUACAGAGAGAUACAUGACCUUCAUUCCCCAAGAAAGUUCUGGAGGUUAUUCCACUCCUUACCACAGCUCAUUUGAUUUGCACAUGCCCUUCUCCUCAGGGCACCAUUACUGUGGAGGGAGGGAGGGAGGGGAGGAGAGAGGGAGGGAGGCCUGUAGUGUGGAGAUGGGAAUGUUGUCUAGGCAGGCCUUCCUUUACCUCCCAAAUCCUUAGCUCAUUUCAGCUGUGUGUCGCAGAAGCAUAAACAGAGGACAGUCUAUUCAUCUUUGUAAUUCUCUGUGUUAGGGAUCAAGCUCAGAGCCUUCUAAGCAGGCAUCCACCACUGAGUUAUUACUUCAGCCCACCUGUCUUUUUUUUUUAAAACUGACCAAAGCACAUUCCCCUAAUCCCACUGAAUGAAUACACUGUAUUUCUACUAAUGCAA